rnacentral:rRNA from 1 species
AUGAAUAAAGCAUUACAUCAACCAGAUACAAUCAAGGUCCGACUACGGAUCCAAAAUAAAAGAAGAACCCCAAAUGCGACAAAGGUCCUCGAUCGACCCCAACUGGGCUCCACUACUGAUCAACUAGAACAGAAACAACACAAAGGACAAGAUCUUCAUCGAGCUCCUCCUGAGCUUGGUUGCGUCAUCUGCACGGACUCAACGGCACCUGCAAGCUGGUUUUUGGAAGUAUCUGUGAGCCACGGGGACUCAGCAAUCUCGCACCCGCGAGAUCAAGACUAUUUAAGCUUAUGGGUAAGAUAA